rnacentral:rRNA from 1 species
UACGAAGGGGGCUAGCGUUGUUCGGAUAUACUGGGCGUAAAGCGCACGUAGGCGGCGCCGUAAGUCAGGGGUGAAAUCCCGGAGCUCAACUCCGGAACUGCCCUUGAAACUGCAGUGCUAGAAUCCUGGAGAGGCGAGUGGAAUUCCGAGUGUAGAGGUGAAAUUCGUAGAGAUUGGGAAGAACACCAGUGGCGAAGGCGGCUAUCUGGACGGUUUCUGACGCUAAGACGCGAAAGCGUGGGGAGCAAACAGG